GAAGUAGUACCUGGAUCGGCAACUCCUCGAUGUUUGUGACCACCGCUAGGUGGCAGUGGUGUCGAGCGCUAAGGACGCGGGGGAGCGGGUGCUAUUCAAAACAAUGGUCGGCGUCGCGUCGUAGGAUCGUUUGCCUUGUUUUUUGAAAAGUUAAGCCCCUUUGGAGCAGAUUGGAAGGUUUCAGAAGAUGGAGGAAGAUGGCAAGAUCAAAGAGAUGGAUUCAGUUUCCACGGUGUGCUGACUUGAAUUGGCAUCCUGUGAUUUGUGAUGUGAAUUAUGAUGCACGCACACGCAGGUGCACGCCCACUGCGGACACGUGUGACGUAACGGCAGCAGGCGGACGAGGUGUGAACUGGCUCGACCGAAAAUGUUUAAGGUAUCACAGCGUUUGUAAGUGACUAACAUACCCACUACGCCCUACGGGCAUACCCAUUGAGCGGAUAAUGCGUUCGUGUGCAUCGUGUUUGCAUUUAUUCCCGAUAUACUCUGGUGGGAGAUGUGAAUUGGAAACCAACUUGGUGCUACGACACCGUUUAAGGCAUGUGGCACGUCGUUUCUCGAAACCUAUCUAUCAGUUUAUGCAAUAAUAUGCAUUGUAUACAUUGUGUGUCAUCUUUCACCUUAGUUGUCAUUGAACCUGUGUUAAAUUCUGAACUUCAGGCCGAGACAGACUAUUUCCACAGUCAGGAAAUCGCACACGAGAGCCUAUUCAAAUCCAUUAAGUUGCAAUAGCAUCAAUCGCACGCAAGGAGGUGCGUGUUAUGGAUGCGAGUGCGACCGGGGUUUAUUUGAAUAGGCUCUCAGUCUUGCACAUGAUUUCUGACUGCGGAAAGAGUCGGUUUCAGCCUGUACUCAGUAGGUAAUUCGCUCAUGCGACGGCAAAUAUAAGUUCAAUAUGGAAA
rnacentral:lncRNA from 1 species